UUUUUUUUUUUUUGUCAGUGUCUUUCAUAUGCUUCAGCACACCAUCCUCAGCUGUAAGAGGUCUGACUCCGUAACACACACGCGUCUUCUGUUGGCAAAAACGCUGGCCUUAACCGCUUUGUUUACAACAGUGCUGCCAACAAGCUCUGUGACAUUGUGGACGCUUCCCGUUUUGCCAUGGCAACGCAGGGCACUUCUUGUUGAACAAUCCGCAUGCCCUUAAUGUCCACAAAGCAGCCUGGGCAUGCGUUCAGAAGGAAGUGGCCAAAAGCGCAAUGCGAGGUUGACAAAAGGUUUCCUCUCCUUGUCCCUUUUGUGUUGCUGCAUUUUCUUUAUUGAUCUGGGAUUCAUCUAGGUUUCUUAGGUGAAUUACUGGAGGUUGGCGGAUCCCACUGCAAGGUAAUGUGACAGCUCUGCAAGUGUUUUUGGGAGCACAGUCAAGACGGGUUCCACAUCAAGCAACGUAUUAUAUAAGGGGAGAGAACACGCACGCCUGUGCAGCUGUCCUUCUCGUCACCCAGUGGGAGGGAAUGACUCCACGCCCAGCUGUCAGCCAGCCCUGAAUACUCAGAAGCACUGAGACUGAAGGGAAGAAAGCUGACCCCCGUGGGUUUGAUGAUGACUUCAAGAGCAAGCCUCAGCCCUUGACCACGGUAGAUUCAGACACGAUCGGUUUGCUAAGACUCCAGGGGAAUGCAUCCCUCCUGUGAAAUGAGAGACCCUGAAGACAAUCCCCAGGACGGGAGUCCUGAGAAGCUACUCUGGCGGAUACGGAAUUCAUCCCAACUGCGGGCUGGUGGAAGCUCUGCAUUCACGACCACGGUUCGUGUCAAUUCCUGUAUCAAUUUCAACCUCUAUCAAGGCAAAAUUGCCAAGGUCAGGAAAGACCCUUUCAGCAAAGCUCCAUGUUGGAAAUCAGUGCUCAUUUUAAAAGUCCAGUAAGCUUCUCCCUGAAGGUAGGCAAGGUUCGUGGCAAAACAAUAUUCUUAUCUGCUCUUCUUCUUACAUUUGUUCUCCCUUAUUUUUAACAUAGAGGUCCUUAUGCCAUGGGAACAUUCCUUUUUAAUCAGACAUUUCAGCAUUAAAUAAAGAGGAUAAGGACAGUUCACACUUGUCAUGCGGUAACAAUUUAAGAUCAACAGAUUGGACUUAAAUUUAUUUUAAGGGAGAAACGGGACUGAGGCAGCAUUUGAUUCACAUUGCAAAGUCGUGGGUUAUCUCAUUCUUAUUUUGCACAGGUUAGAAUAGCCAGAGAAUAGUAGACCAAGGUUCUGGCUCUAGUGCUAAGCAGCUGGGGGAACAAAGGCAAAUUUGUUUUUCUUUCCAGGACUUGGGUCCUUCCUGUCCAGGAUAGUGUGACAGUUCAUCUUAUGUGGCAACAUGACUGAGCUAAGGGAUGCCCAGGGAGCUGGUGAGACGUUACAUCUGGGUGGGUCUGUGAGGGUCUUUCCAGAAGAGAUUAGUAUUUGAAUUCAUAGACUGAGUGCAACAUGAGCCCCACACCCCUGUGGGUGGGCAUCACCCAAUGCAUUGAGGACCUGGGUAGAAGAAAAGGGCAGAGAAGACCAAAUUCACUCUCUGUUGAGCUGAGGCAUCCGUGUGCUCCUGGCCUUGAAUACCAAUGCUCGGGGUUCUCAGGCCUCAGGCCUCGGACUGAAGUACAACACUGGCUUUCCUGGGGUCUUAGGUAUUCUGGGCUAAUAGUGCAAAAUAGUGCAAACAGGUAUAAGUAACAUGGUAUAAGUUACCAUGGUUGAGUUCUGGUGAGAACCCUAAUUCAUGGGCUGAGGCUUCUUGCUGUAUUCUCAUGUGGCAGAGGGGUAAGGGGGCUCUGUAAGGUCUCCUUGAUAAGGACACUAAUCCUACUCAUGAGAGCUCCAUCCUCAAGACCUAAUCACCUCCCAAAGAUGCAGAUGGUUUUGGUAUAAAGAGAAGCACAUGUAUGGUGACCACACUGCCACCUUUUCCUGGUCAUGGUGAUGGAAGGAUGUCUGCAAAAGGACAGUGAUGAUCACAUUAAAAAGAAUACUUAGUAUAUAAAGGACAAAAUAAAGCUAAAUUAAAAAGAAAAUUAUAUAUAAAUAUAUAAAUACUUAGGAGAGAGAGGUAAUCCUGGUGUGCUCCUUAGGAGCCAAAUGAGAAAUGGCCAUAAAGUUUAGAAAUCUGAAUAAAACUGUUCUUCCUGCCUCUAGGUUAAGAGAACCUUGGCUCAAUGGUCUAAGUAGGGCUCAGUAUAUAUUAUGGGAAAAAAAUCUAUUUUUGAUCAUUUUUGGUAUGGUUAAAUUUUCCACUGAAAAUGUCAUGGUCACACCAUUGAGGAAUCUCUUGAUUCACAAAACAUUAAAAUAAAGUCAAUGGGGCUUGGAAACACACUAUACUUUUCUACCUUCAUUUCCAAUAUAAUGAAUAUGUUUAAUAUCUUCUCCCUUUUGGCUCAAAAUAGAACUUUGAAAAAUGUCAUAAGUGAGAAAGAUCACGGGGAGGGAGAGGGGGAAAGGGAAAGAAUGAAGGAUGUUCUCAAAAUAGAAGACAAACAUCCUUGAAAGAAGGAAACAAAUGACAGAGAAAGGAAAUAAAUAUCAAAGUAUGGAAAAUGCAUCCUUAAAACAGCAGAAGAAAGAACCAGCUUGAGAAUGAUUUUUUUAGAAAACCAUUUUUCAAAGUAACGUUUCUUAUUAUAAAAAUAAUGCUCACUCAUUGCACAACACUCAGCAAACAAAGAAAAGCAUACAAAGGGAAUAAAAAUCAUUCAAAGGCCACCCUACAGAGAAAAAUAUUUUAAUACGAGUAUUUCUUUCAAGUCCUUUUUAUAUUCCUUUAUUUUUACAAAAUGCCAGCAUACACUAAAAUGGUUUUAGACUCUACAUUUUUUCUUUUUUCUUUUUUUACAUUUUUUUCAUUUAAUAUUAUGUUGUGAGCACUUUUCCAUGUAAAAUAGUAUUUGAAAAUAUGAUUUUAUUAGUUAUAUUGGGAGUCAGUAAAGUAGAAUUCAUGGGCCAAAUACUGACCACCAUCUGUUUUCACAUAGCCCACAUGUUAAGCCCACACUGAAAUCGAAUGGCUGAAAAAAAAAUCAAAAUAAGAAUAACUGUUCACAACACAUGAAAAUGAUAUGAAACUCCCCUUUCU
rnacentral:lncRNA from 1 species